GACGAACGCUGGCGGCGUGCUUAACAUAUGCAAGUCGAACGGAAAGGCCCUGCUUUUGUGGGGUGCUCGAGUGGCGAACGGGUGAGUAACACGUGAGUAACCUGCCCUUGACUUUGGGAUAACUUCAGGAAACUGGGGCUAAUACCGGAUAGGAGCUCCUGCUGCAUGGUGGGGGUUGGAAAGUUUCGGCGGUUGGGGAUGGACUCGCGGCUUAUCAGCUUGUUGGUGGGGUAGUGGCUUACCAAGGCUUUGACGGGUAGCCGGCCUGAGAGGGUGACCGGCCACAUUGGGACUGAGAUACGGCCCAGACUCCUACGGGAGGCAGCAGUGGGGAAUAUUGCACAAUGGGCGGAAGCCUGAUGCAGCAACGCCGCGUGCUGGAUGACGGCCUUCGGGUUGUAAACCGCUUUCGCCUGUGACGAAGCGUGAGUGACGGUAAUGGGUAAAGAAGCACCGGCUAACUACGUG
rnacentral:rRNA from 1 species